GAAGGUGCUGGUGCCUUCUGUUAACUUGGAGUUCUUGAAUACCGGGUUGGAGACAUACAUCCAGACACUAGAAAGUUAUUAAUAUGCCAUUCAGUGUUACAUCAUAUGGAGCUAGAGCAUUCCCAUCUGGAUAGUAUCAGAGUUAAUGAUGAAAGGAAAUUAGAAGCCUCUGGUUGGCCUUUGUAGUUGCUGUUAUCCCCUGGAGACAAGACUUCACCCAUGCAAGAACCACGUGGGUGAGGCUGCAAAGAAAGGAUAUUCUGCUGCAGCAGAAACACUUCUGGCUUAAAGCUGCUGAAAGCAUGGUGUUAAAAUUCCUUGCCAAGAGGGUGUAGGUGCGGGGGAACCAUGGAAGGAGACAAGGCUCCUGGUGGCGUGGGGAAAAGCAUACAUGCUUCAUCUUUUCAGCAGCAUCUAUUGUUGAACAGCACAGGGUGCUAAAGGCAUCUCAGGAGCAUGGGCACAGCAGAGGAAAGAUGACCUGAACAUGAACCACGUCUUUCCAAGAUAAGAAGCACUGGUGGGCCUAUGGAUACACCUCAGUUGCAGGAUAAGCUGGAUUAGAAGCAAAUACAUUUGGGAGAAG
rnacentral:lncRNA from 1 species